AUAUGCAGAUAGACUAAAUUUAUGUCAUAUGCAGAAUUUAUCUUUAGUAAUAAAAGAACAACUAGUUCUUCCACGCAUCAUCUCCUCCGAUUUUUGGCAUUAUUUUAUUGCUUCCGCUUGCAAAACCCACGUUCUUCCUCUGCUUCUUCAUUCCACCCAUUCCCAGUUUUUUUUAAAUUUCAAUUUGAAUUUCCAAAACCCAAGCUACGUGCGGCUAGCUUCCAAACCUGUUAGUUCAUGUCACUAAGCUAUGUUCAGUUGUUGACGCUAUAACAUAAAUUUGAGCCAACCAGGCUAUGUCUGACUAGGUUCCAGACCUGUGAGUUCAUGUCGUCGAGCUAUGUUCAUUGUUCACGCUAUAUGCUGGAAAACCUGAAGUAUGUGUGACCAGUUUUUAUUUGUUGUGUUUCAAUUUCAAUGCCGCUCGACUACAACUUCCUUCACCACCAUCUCCACUGAGUAGUAAUCUCCUUUAUCGUCGCUACUGCUGAACAGUGAGUUCUUUCACCACCGCAUCAAUACCAUUGGUAUGUUUGUUUUCUCAUCCUUUUUGUCAUUUUCACCUUUCUUAUUGUUACAGCUAUUUCAUAUUUGUUUUUAAUUUUCCUCAUUUUGUUUAAUGAAUUUCUUGAUGUUUUUCAUUUGAGAAAUCGAAAGGGUUUUUUCCAACAACAAGAAGUUGUGGGUAUGUGGUGAUUAUCAUUCACCUUUUUUUCUUUUCAUUUUUACUUUUGUGAUUUUAAUGUCAAAGUUUGAUGAACUUGCUUGCCAUAACCUACUCUUGUGCAUUCUAGCUCUUCACAAUUGUCACUGUUGAUGAACAUGCUCUUGGUUUGAAGGUAGUUUCAAAGUUCCUGACCAUAGGUCUGGAAAGGAUGUUCGUGAUAGGACCUUAUUUUAUUACAAGUUUCUCCAAUACAAUGUAUCAAUGGCAAAUAGUGUGGUUAACCCUGCAAAGCAAGCAGUUUCAGUAAUUGUUGAUACUCAGGGUAGUGAAAUAAUUAUUCAAUGAGUUUGGACUAACUUGAAGUACUUUGCACCAUUUCUAAAUAUAAUAAAAUAUUUUACACUUUUAACAAAAUUAAACAUAAAAUGGGGAGAAAAUAAUAAAUAAUUCUCCUUACCAUUUACAGUUUUUUUUUGUUUCUUCCCUUUAAAACAUGUCUACUUCUUAAUGUUUCAUGUUUAGUCUUGCCUCAGUUGUUGAAUAACCUGAGAUAUUCUAAAUAAUAUGUUGUGGUUUGUUAUUUACAUUAGAAAUCAAUUUUAGCAUUUUAAAAAUAUAAAACAUUGUACAAAUAACUUUCUGUCUCAACACCUUGUGGUGUGAUAGAUUAAAUUAAACACCUUGUCUUACAGUAACGUUACUUGAAAGUUGAAACAUGUUUAUAUUACUGUGAUGCUUGUGUAUAUUAAAAUCUGUCAAACUAACAAUAGCAAAUUCAUGCAACCUUCUUAUAUGUUCACUUAUAAGGAACACCGAGGGACAUUUGAGUUUGCAGAUGAACUUGGAAAUCUAUCUAUUAGUGCAGAAUCUGUAGAUUCUAUUGUUCCAGCUCAGAGAGUGGAAGCAAAUGACAAGGAUCUACUUCUAAGUACUUUAGAAAAAGAUGAAGGAAGAGAUCCUAGUAGCAAUGGUUCUGUCUAUAAUGUUCCUUCCUAUAAUGGUUCAUAUGCCCCUUCUACAACUUCAGAACCACUUGCAGACUUGGCAUUUCCAAGUACUGGCAUAUUUGGUCAAGCUUAUGCUUCUAGCUUAGCAAUUGAUGAUCUGCGUGGUUUAGAUUGGGAUUGUAGCCACACCUUAUAAUUUGGAGACCUGUUUUCCCGUUGGUUUAGAUUUUCCAAUUGGGACAGGGAUGCAGACCUGUUUUAAAGAAGGACAAGCGUGCAAAUCCGUUACUACCAUGAUAAUUUUGCAUGAGUUCUUCUUUAUAUUUUAUUGUUUCAGUUUUUUUUUUUUACUUAGUCAAUAAGUGAUUCCUACACUUAAAGAGCAAAUAGUUUGUAAUCCAAGGUUGCUGGAAUCUUGGUAACAUUAUUUUUUGUUAGAAUGGAGAUCAUUUUUUUUAUAUUUUGCAUAUAAUAAAAUCUAUCAGCUAUGCAAAUUUUAUGUUUUCUUAUGUAAAAUCAGUUUAGACAACCUGUAGUAGGUUAAAUUUUAUAUACUAGGUCAGUGUUAUCCACACUUUUUUUCUUGUAUCACUGUAUUUUUCACCACAAAGAAUUCCAAGUCAUGUAUGUAUGUUGAACAUUUUGGAACAUUGAAUACACUCUCAAAAAUUUAAUGAAAAUGUUGAGUUAUUUGAGCUGAAUCAAAAAUAUUGAGUGUUGAAUGAGAGUUUUUUUCACGACAAUCUAUGAUGUUUUGCAGGUAUGACUAUUCUAGAUACUGGCAGUCAUCAGGGAAGUUUGUGUUUAUAUGAAAUGGUUAUUCGUGUUAGAUCCUGAUUCGUCAUGCUUAAUUUUGGAUAGGGGUAUAGUUGUAAACAUACAUGCUGAUGAAUAUUGUUUUUCCUGAACUGUAGCCAAGUAAGCAGAAUACAUACUCAGACAUUGUGGCUGCAUACAAGUGUCUAGAAGAGAGUUAUAGAGCCAAGCAGGAAGGCAUAAUCGUUUAUAGGCAAUCUGUUGGCAGUGGCCCAACUUUGGAUCUUGCAGCUAGGUUGCCUCAAUUAAGAGUUGUUAUUUUGCACUGUCCUAUACUAUCUGGCUUUAGGGUCAGAUUAUUUUUACUCUAAUUAUAUAUUUCAAUCAUAUUACUUUUUGAAUUGUCCUAUACAUUUUAAUGAAAAAAAUAUUUCAAUAAUAAUUAUUUAGUUAUAUGUUAUGUUUUUCCCUUGAUUUGUUGUUUGAUACAAAUUUUGAUAAUUGAGGAUAAUAGCUUAUUUCCUUUUUCUCUAUUAUCUUAUUGCUUUCUGUUUUGUAAGUAUACAUACUUGGAUGACUUGAUGUGAUUUAUGCGAGAAGAUGAAGCUGCAAAAACCAUGAAUAUCUUUGAAGGAGCAUCUAAAACUCAGAGAAUUAGCAAAUCAGCCUUGAAGAACUAGGAAUUAGCAGAACCGUCAAUAAGAGAUGCUUUUGAAUCUUGCAUUGAACAAGGUGUUCAUCACAUUAUUGUUUGUCCCUUUAUUCUCUUUCCUGGGAGGCAUUGGAGUCAGGAUAUUCCUUCCUUAAGUGCAGAGGUAGUGAAGGAACACCCAGAUGUGUCAUACAAUGUAACUGCACCCGUUGGACUACAUGAACUAUUUGUGGUCUUCUGAACAAGGCACAUUUGAACAGGUUCAUAAACAUCAAUUUGUGCCUAUGGCGUUUAUUGCUUUGGAAAAGUAUUACUUGAGGUGACAAAAAUUGUUGAUCCGCCAAUGGUCAUUGAUGAGGAUUUCUUAGAGGAAAUAUGGGCUAUAUCCAUUGUUGUUGGGUCUUGCCUAAAAGUUAUGACAUCAGAGUUCUUUCGAUGUAACAGUUACUCCAACAUCCUCUAGUACAAAACACAAAAGAACUAGCAGUUUAAAGAGGCCAGGAACUACCGAUUCGUAGUCACAGGGUAGUGAUAUAGGAAAACUUUCUAUUCUUUUAGGUCUUAAACUUUUUAACUCUAACGAACUUAUAAAUUUUAUAUAUCUUCCUUUUUCCCUCAAUCA